rnacentral:rRNA from 1 species
GGAGUUUGGUCCGUGUCUCAGUACCAAUGUGGGGGACCUUCCUCUCAGAACCCCUACUGAUCGUCGCCUUGGUGGGCCGUUACCCCGCCAACAAGCUAAUCAGACGCAUCCCCAUCCCUUAGCGGUGAACCUUUGCUUUCCAUCAGAUGCCAUCCAGAAAGAACAUAGAGUAUUAAUCCGACUUUCGCCGGGCUAUCCUCUACUAAGGGGAAGGUUGGAUACGCGUUACUCACCCGUGCGCCGGUCGCCAUCAACAAAAGCAAGCUUUCGUCAUGAUGCCCCUCGACUUGCAUGUGUUAAGCCUGUAGCUAGCGUUCAUC